rnacentral:rRNA from 1 species
UUGACCUCAAAUCAGGUAGGACUACCCGCUGAACUUAAGCAUAUCAAUAAGCGGAGGAAAAGAAACUAACAAGGAUUCCCCUAGUAACUGCGAGUGAAGCGGGAAAAGCUCAAAUUUGAAAUCUGGCAGUCUUUUUUUUCUUCUUGGCUGUCCGAG